AAUAUUGGACAAUGGUCGGAAGACUGAUCCAGCCAUGCCGCGUGCAGGAAGACUGCCCUAUGGGUUGUAAACUGCUUUUAUAUGGGAAGAAUAAGGAUCUCGUGAGGUCUGAUGACGGUACCAUAGGAAUAAGCACCGGCUAACUCCGUGCCAGCAGCCGCGGUAAUACGGAGGGUGCAAGCGUUAUCCGGAAUCAUUGGGUUUAAAGGGUCCGUAGGCGGGUAUAUAAGUCAGUGGUGAAAGUCUGUGGCUCAACCAUAGAAUUGCCAUUGAUACUGUAUAUCUUGAAUCGUUGUGCAGUGGUUAGAAUAUGUAGUGUAGCGGUGAAAUGCUUAGAUAUUACAUAGAAUACCGAUUGCGAAGGCAGAUCACUAACAACGUAUUGACGCUGAUGGACGAAAGCGUAGGUAGCGAACAGGAUUAGAUACCCUGGUAGUCUACGCCGUA
rnacentral:rRNA from 1 species